UACGUAGGCAGCGAGCGUUGUUCGGAGUUACUGGGCGUAAAGAGUGCGUAGGCGGUUUUCUAAGUUUGGUGUGAAAUCUCCCGGCUCAACUGGGAGGGUGCGCCGAAGACUGGAAGGCUUGAGUAUGGGAGAGGUAAGCGGAAUUCCUGGUGUAGCGGUGAAAUGCGUAGAUAUCUGGAGGAACACCGGUGGCGAAGGCGGCAUCCUGGACCGGUAUUGACACUGAAAAGCGAAAGCCAGGGGAGCAAACGGG
rnacentral:rRNA from 1 species